CUUUUCUACCGUUGGAAAUGCAAGAUGCGGCGACUUGACUUCAGACACCGAGAGAGGCUGGCGGCCCAGGUCUUGUGGCCACAUCUGUCCAAGCUCCUACUCUGAUUGAACAGUUGGAUGAUCAGACUGAUGAUGAAAAGUGCUACACAGUUCUCACACAUAUUCUGACUCCGAAGCCGCUGCAGUGUAAAAUCUGAGAUGUCUUUUCUGGUUGAUUUUGUGCAGAUUUCUGACAGCGAUGGUGAGGGAAGCAGUGUACCGAACUCUCAGAUGACUCGGACCAGGUGACCAAACCCAUGCAAAGCACAAUGACUGUGCUGAGGCGUUCCGCCCCCCUCCCCCUCCACACCACUCAAGGCACGGCGGCGGCCCAACCACAAACUAACGGAGAUUAACAUGAGGCUGGAUGCGCUUGGCUCCCUGCUGCGUCCAUCACCAGAGGGGCCGGGGUUGCUGCGGCAGCUAGCCAAUUAAAGGAGGAGGAUGAAGGAGAGGAGUCUGACGAUGCAGACAUCGCCAUCGCAUGCAGUCCACGCCCUCGCAGGAAAACCAGCCAAUGAAAACGCUUGCAGCAGCAUCAGCAGAACACACCGGCACGACUGACAGAGCUUCUGAAGCAUGCAGUGGAAGAGCUGUCAGUCAAGCUAAAGGUCCCAUCCUCCAACCUGCUGCUGCUGCACGGAGAGGCGGAACUUAACACCUCACACACUAUUGGCCAGCUAGGACUCUGCAUCGCUGACAUCUUUGUCUGGAACCAACUUCACAUCCCUCUUCACUGCACUACUGACACUGAGAUGGAAUCCACAACCCAAUCACUAGUGGUCUGCAUUGGGAACCUGAAGAGUCUGUCAUAACCGCCAGGAAUGACCGUGUGACCAUUCCCGUUGCAGACGGCCUGACUUGCACAAUUGACAAGCUGUUCAAGCUUUACUGGGUCUGCAACUUGUUAUAUCCAGCACAGCUCAGCUCUGUUUUCACCUUCUUUGAAUAUGUUUAUGACGUUCCCAUCUCAACCAACAAACGAACAAAGGCACUACAACUUCUCUCAAAGCUUCCCAGCAGCCCAGUGAUCACUCAACAUGUGUUUAUGCCCAAAAUGUAAAUAGUUACUACAGACAUCAAGAAAGUAGUUUGGCAUCUUUGUCAAGUACACGCUUUGUCAGAUGCACAGGAUAUGAUGAUAAUUUGCAGCCAAGAUGGCUGUUCAAGUGUACAAGGAGUUACUAUGUAGACACCACCAGUCCACAACAACAGAAAUGGGAGUAUCUUUCAAUGACUCUUUUGAAUCCACUGACAUUCAGACAGCCUAUGCAGCUUCAAGUAACACCUGAAGAAACAACAUUUUGUGUCCCUUCUCAAGGACCGAUUCUCCAUAAUUUACCAGUUAAUGGCAAUUUAUCUGUGUUCAUGCUUGUUAGGAUUAUUACAGGGAAUUAUUUUGAUUAUCAUUUUGGCAACACUUUAUUUUAUCAUUACAUCUAUUAGCUCUAAUACAUACAGUGUUAAUGCCUGUAUGCUGUAUAAGUAACUUGUAAGGCAUGCACUAAGCAAAAUCAAACAUACGUUAGGCAUGUAUUCGCAAAUGCCUU